GCUGCUGAUCCAACAAACUAAAAUUAGUUUAACCCAAGCUAAUGAAUAAAAAUGCACAUUUCAUCAGAUGCAACAACACUCACAAUUUAAGAGAAACAUUAUUCGAAUGCUUGGUGAAAGAGAUGUGUUUUUAAUCUAGAUUUGAAAAGAGAGAGUGUGUCUGAUCCCUGAAUAUUAUCAGGAAGGCUAUUCCAGAGUUUAGAGUACCUCCUUUAGUGGACUUUGCUAUCCUAGGAACGACCAAAAAUCCAGCGUUUUGUGACCUUAGGGUGCGUGAUGGGUUGUAACGUGGUAGAAGGCUAGUUAGGUAUGCAGGAGCUAAACCAUUUAGGGCCUUAUAGUAAUGAUAAUUUGUAACUGAUAUGGAACUUAAUAGGUAGCCAGUGCAGAGACUGUAAAAUUGGGGUAAUAUGAUCAUAUUUUCUUGACCUCGUAAGGACUCUAGCUGCUGCAUUUUGGACUACCUGUAGCUUGUUUAUUGACAAAGCAGGACAACCACCUAGAAGUGCAUUACAAUAGUCCAGUCUAGAGGUCAUGAAUGCAUGAACUAGCUUUUCUGCAUCAGAAACAGAUAACAUGUUUCGUAGCUUGGCAAUGUUUCUAAGAUGGAAGAAUGCAAUUUUUGUAACAUUGGAAAUAUAAUUUUCAAAAGACAAUUUGCUGUCUAAUACGACACCCAGAUUUCUGACUGUAGAGGAAGUAACAGUACAUCCCUCUAGUUGCAAAUUGUAAUCUACAAGAUUCUGUGUAUUUUUUUUUGGUCCAAUAAUUAAUAUCUCUGUCUUAUCUGGAUUUAAUUGGAGAAAAUUAUUUGUCAUCCAAUCUUUUACAUUUUUAACACACAACAUGUAUAUUGAAAAUAGAAGGGGACCUAGGACGGAUCCUUGUGGCACUCCAUAUUUUACUGAUGAUAAAUGAGAUGACACCCCACUUAAUUAAACAAAAUGGUAGCGAUCAGACAGGUAGGAUCUAAACCAUCUUAGAGCCUGCCCUUGAAUACCUGUAUACUUUUGUAAUCGAUCUAUGAGUAUGUCAUGAUCUAUGGUGUCGAACGCAGCACUAGAUCAAGUAAGACUAGAAAUGAGAUGCAGCCUUGAUCUGACGCAAGGAGCAGGUCAUUUGUAAUUUUAACAAGUGCAGUUUCUGUGCUAUGGUGGGGCCUGAAACCUGACUGAAAUUCUUCAUACAGAUCAUUUUUAUGCAGGAAGGUGCUCAAUUGAGCAGACACAACUUUUUCUAAAAUUUUUGACAUAAAUGGAAGAUUUGAAAUAGGCCUAUAAUUUGCCAGUACACUAGGAUCUAGUUUUGGUUUCUUAAUAAGAGGCUUGAUAACCGCCAGCUUAAAUGGUUUUGGGACGCGACCUAAAGAUAACGACGAGUUAAUGAUAUUGAGAAGAAGUUCUUCGGCUACAAUAAGUUUAUUUAGCUCUUCCUGUCCUAUGUUUGUAAAGCACUGCAGUUUAUCUUUGGUUGCGAUGGAUGAAACUGAAGAGUUAGACGCUGUAGAAUCUAAUAUAUAAUAGGUAAUUUGUUAAUUUAGCCACUGUGUUAAAUAAAAACCUUGGAUUGUUAUGGUUAUUUUCUAUGAGUUUGUGUAUAUGCUCUGCCCUAGCAGUUUUUAGAGCCUGUCUAUAGCUGGACAUACUGUUUUUCCAUGCAAUUCUAAAAACUUCCAAGUAAUUUUUACUCCAUUUGCGUUCAAGACUACAAGCUUCUUUCUUGAGAGAGUGAGUAUUACUGUUAUACCAUGGCACAGUACGUUUUUCUCUAACCUUUUUCAAUUUGAUGGGGGCAACAGUUUCUAAUGUAUUACAGAAAAUAGUGCCCAUGUUGUCAGUCAUUUCGUCUAAUUCAUGUGUAUUUUUGGGUACAGAUAGCAGUUGAGAUAGAUCAGGCAGGUUAUUUGCGAAUCUUUCUUUGGUGGCUGGAACAAUAGUUAAUAUCAGUUAUACGUAGCAUGCAGGAUACAAGGAAAUGGUCUGUAAUAUCAUCACUUUGAGAUACAAUAUCUAUAGCAGUAAGAUCGAUUCCAUGAGAUAUAAUUAAAUCUAGUGUAUGAUUAAAACGAUGAGUGGGCCCGGUGACAUUUUGCCUGACUCCAAAAGAGUUUAUUAGGUCAGUAUGUGCAUGUUUUGCUUAACCAAAAAUCUGAUAGUCAUGUGCUGAUGUUAUUUAUAAUACCUUUAGCAUUGCAUUUCUCCUGGAGAAAUAUAGUGCAUGUAAUACUUUUAUAUAACAAAGUUGUGUUAAAAUGAUCAAAAGUGACCGUAAACCAUUAAAACAGAAAUCUGGUGAUACUGGAGUCAGUGUUUAGUUCCAGGUCAGAAGAGGAGAUGCUGAAACUCAUUGGACUGAUGAACUCUAUGAGGGUCAUUGACGGCCAUGACAAAGUGACAGCUUUCGAUCUUUCUAACUUCAUGACCGUCAUAGUUCUGGGAGGCUGCUCUUGUGCAUUAUUGUGAGAGCUGGCUAAAGAGUAUCCUUCCUCCACUGUCACGGUGCUGGAUCUCCCGGCUGUGGUCCAAACCACUCAGCAGCAUUUCGCCCAGCAAGAGGACACCAUCUGUUUCCAAGAGGGAGAAAUCCCUCCUGCAGACUUAUACAUUCUGGCACGGAUCAUUCAUGACUGGGAGGAGGAAAGAAAAAGUUCCAACUAUUGAAGAAGAUUCAUACAGAAUGUCAUCCAGGUGGAGGCGUUCUGAUCACAGAUGCACUGUUGUUUGAGAACCGCUGCGGUCCAGCUGUGGUUCAGAUGUUUUCUCUGAACCUGCUGGUCCAGUCUAGCCUCUCAUUAUAAACAUCUGCUUACCGAAGCAGGAUUCAGAGAAGGUCUGUCAGACUAGAAAAUGCUAUUUUGGCACUCAAAUGAAUAUGCACACAUGUAUUCAUGUAAGCAUUGUCAGUAAUCAGAACCCUUCUGCCGUAUCUGCAGACACGGGAGUAAUCAUAUUCAUGCACAUGUCAGACAUCUGUUGUUCCACCUUGGCCUUGUUUUGUUAAGUUAUAAAGCAUUUUAUUUCUCCAUCAGAGAAUGAGCCCACUCCUGAUCCUUAUGAUUCCUUCAAAAGGCUGUUUUAGCAUCAAUUCGUUUUAGUUAUUUGUGAACUUGGCUCCUGAGGCCUACCAGAUGUAGUCUGGCCAGUGGUGUGUCAAAAUAAACUCCUCCCUCGUUCCCACCUUGUGUAUCUAGGUUGUCUUGACAAUUGGUUAAGUAUGACCCCUUGUGGUUAUUUGUUGAACUAAC